UACAGAGGAGCCAAGCGUUGUCCGGAUUGACUGGGCGUAAAGCGCACGCAGGCGGACGCGCGCGUGGGGUGUGAAAUCUGGCCGCUUAACGGCCAGGCGCCAUCCCAUACGGCGCGACUGGAGUGAUGCAGAGGUCGAUGGAAUUGCCGGUGUAGUGGUGAAAUGCGCAGAUAUCAGGAGGAACACCGGUGGCGAAGGCGGCGCUCUGGGCCGGUACUGACACUGAGGAGCGAAAGCGUGGGUAGCAAACAGG
rnacentral:rRNA from 1 species